AGGAACGUUUUGAGCUAAGCUCUAUUUCCAAGUGGGAACCAAUUUCAGUUUUUGUGUUAGCGGUUCCUUUUUGUGAGUUACACAAGGGCGAGAGUGUCUGAUUUUGAGCCACCGGGUGGCGACGUUUUUCCGUUUGAACAAGCAAGUGGUGAAGAACGCAAGAAAUGCUUAUUUUGUGUCCUUUCUGAUAGCAUUUUUGUUUAUUGUUGAAACCGGAGUUUGAAGACCUGUAUUGUCAGGAUUUACGUUUUUCUUCGUUUUCUCCCUCGAGCAAAUGCGGCAAUGAGGUAAUCCUUAGAUGUUAGCCAUGCUAUGUUAUGUUAGCAAGAACAUGACGAAUGUGUUUUAAGUGCAUGAGCAGAUUUAAGUUAUUUUGUGUGUAACGUUUAUUGUUCUCUGUGAGAACGUUUUAUGUUAAUAGUCUUUAUGUCUUUUAGUUCUCACGGCAUGUGUGUGGAGAAGUUGAAUAAAUGCCCGUUUUGAAGAACUGCUUGUACGCCUGAUUGACGAGGGAGCUACAGUGAGAACUCAGCCAGCCCGGCGCCAGAACAAGACGGUGUUCGGCAGAGCUACAAGCAAGUCACUUCACUCACCUCUUCCAUCGGACAGAUAAGAGACUGUACAUUCACCUGCCUACACAAAUAGCUACCUGAGUCCAGAGAGCUUUGGGUGCCAGUCAACAAUAAGUAAAACAUUUGAACAAGUUAAAUGUUUAAAGGUGGACUAGCCUCAAUUGCUGUAAAGGGACCUACAAGUGCUAAAUUGUGCAAUGUUAUGGUGAUGUGUGCAUGUUGUAAGGUUUAAGUGCGUGCUUAUUUGCACCUAGUAAUGUCUGAUUGAGGUGUGAACGACCAUUCAUAGCAUUUGAAAACAAGUUCAUUUGCGAACAUUCAAAGGUGUAGAACAACAUUUAAGUGAUUAAGUCAUUGCAAUGAAAAAUUAAGUUUAUUGUACAUUUAGUCAAUAUAUUAGACAGGUUGGUUGAUAAAGUAAAUUACAGGAGUCAGUAGUAAUUCAAGAUAGCCUACUGUAGUCAAGUGAUAAAACUAUAACAUCAUUACAUUAGUAAAUCAGAUAAAUACUGAGUUCAUGAGACUUCCUAAAAAUGGAUAGUGAGCAAGCAGAUAAAACUCUUAAGAGGGAGACUGAAAUAAGUGAAGGCAAACAACCUGCCCCAGAAGAUGCACUAAGAAGAAGUGAAAGAUCGAGAAGGCUCACUGAGAAGGGACAAGAACUCGAAGAGACUAAACUCAAAGGUCUCCAACAUCGUUUCUCACGUACCUAUGACAAGUGGAAGAUUCUUGCUAAGAAAUCAAGGAAGGAGAUAGAAGGAGCCUCUUCUCAAGAGAACCUACAAACUCUCAUCAACAAGAUAAAAGAAGCAUCAAAUGAUGUACAGCAGGCGUACGAAGACCUGCGCAAAUGCAUAAUCCCUGAUAAAGAGACACGCCGUCGAACAGACACCUGCGACACUGUCUCAAGGCAGAUAUUAGAGCAUGCUUGGAACCAUCUCCAAGACAAAGAUAACGAGCAAGAAAUAGAGUGGUUUGAGACUGGCUCUGUGUUCUCAUUAGGAGUAUCAGAAGCAUGCAGUGCAAGCUCAAGAUCAUCACUCUCAAGUAAAUCGUCAUGUAAAUCUUCAAAAAUAAGUGAAGCUGCAGCAGAAUUAGCCGCAAAUGAAGCCACUUUGGAAGUCCAAGAGCAAGUGGAGCGUGAGGAACGUGAACUCAGAAACCUAGAAGCUGAGUACAGACAAAGGCUUGUGCGACAAAAAAAGGAACGUGCACAAGAAGAAGAGCAAUGUAGACAAAGGCUUGCACAACAAGAAGAAGAAUGUGCUGCAAAUAAACAGGUCUUGGAAGAAAAGCGCAGAAAGAUAGAACGCUUAGAGACCAUAAAAAAGAUGAAUGCCGCCAAGGCCAAACUAGAAGUGUAUAAACAAGAACAAGGUUCAACCUCUGACUUGCUGGAUCUAUUCAAGGAUUAUAAGCCCAAACGAGAAAGGCUUACAUUCGACUCAAAACCUUCUGUCACGCCACAACUAAUCACAAGGAUGCAAUCUUCUAUAACUACUCCCAAAGAGGAUAGCACAACUGAUUUUGCCAAGGUAAUAGCAGAGUCCUUCAGUGUAAGCCGUCUCCCAGCACCAGAGCCUGCUGUUUUCAGUGGAGAUCCACUAAAGUACAAGGGCUGGGAAAUGUCCUUUCAAACGCUGAUAGGCAGAAAGAAUAUACCAGCGAACGAAAAAAUCUACUACCUACAAAAAUAUGUUGGUGGACCAGCAAGGAAAGCCAUUGAGGGAUACUUCCUUCUGGGAACAGAUGCAGCCUAUCAGACAGCGCUCGAUGUCCUGGAAAAAAGAUAUGGAAGCUCCUUUAUGGUUGCUAAGGCUUUCAGAGAUAAGCUGGCCUCAUGGCCAAACAUAGGACCCAAGGAAAGCAUUCAGCUACGAGAGUUCUCAGACUUCCUUCAAGGCUGUCAAGCAGCCAUGUCGCAAAUAAAGAGCCUGGAGGUCCUUAACGACUGUGGUGAAAACCGACGAAUGCUCUCCAAGCUCCCCGACUGGCUUACAGCAAGAUGGAACCGAAGGGUGACCAGGAUGGAAAAGGAAAAUGAGACUUUCCCCAGCUUCGAUCAGUUCGUGGAAUUCGUCACAGAGGAAGCCGAUAUAGCUUGUAAUCCGAUUACCUCCCUUCACGCUCUGAAGUCUGGAGAUGGUGGAAAGGAGAAGCCACAAAAAACACGAAGUGUUGGUGCUAAGGUGCUAGCAAGUAGCUCUGAAGAGAAAACAGAUGCUAAAGGAUGUGUAUUCUGUGAGAAGUCAAAUCAUGGCUUACAGACAUGUCGAAGGUUCUUGAAAGAGACAACUGCAGAACGGGUCAAGUUUGUGAAAACAAACAAGCUCUGUUUUGGAUGUUUGAAAUCAGGACAUCAGUCCAAGAACUGUGAGAAGAGAAGCAUUUGUGAGACAUGCAAAAGGAAGCAUCCAACAUGUCUACAUGAAAAUCGUCCAAGGGAAGAAGAUAGGAAAGAACAAGAGGACGGCGAAAGAAAGGAGAGUGGGAGACGCUUUAAGAAAAGGGAAGACUUAUCAGAGUCUGAAGAGAAAGAAGAGACACCAGUAGAGGCAACAGCUAACAGAGUGGUGCAAGACAAGAGGAGCACCUAUUCCUCCACAGUUGUUCCUGUAUGGCUGUCCACAGCAAGUAAUCCAGAGCAGGAAGUGCUCGUAUACGCUCUAUUGGACAACCAAAGCGACACCACCUUUAUCCUGCAAGAAACGGCAGACGUGUUAGUUACAAAGAAACAGCCUGUGCAAUUAAAGCUCUCCACGAUGUCAUCCAAAGAUACCGUCAUCCAGAGUCAGAAGUUAACUGGACUGCAGGUCAGAGGUUAUAAUGAGACAAGGAAAAUAUCUCUCCCAGUAACCUACACAAGAGAGUUUAUUCCUGCAAACCUAAGUCAUGUCCCAAUACCUGAGACAGCAAGAUCAUGGCCUCACCUAGAGCACCUUGCUGGAGAGAUCACUCCUUUAUGUGACUGUGAGAUUGGCCUGCUCAUAGGCUACAACUGUUCUCAGGCCCUGUUGCCCAGAGAAGUGGUGUCAGGAAAGGAUAAUGAGCCUUUUGCUCAACGAACAGACUUGGGCUGGAGUAUAGUUGGCUGUGUAGAUCCCUGCGUUGAUUAUGGAGAUGCAAUUGGAAGCAGCCACAGGAUCGUUGUGAAACAAGUGACUCCACACAUUGAGUCACAGGCUUAUCAACCAAGUGAAGUACGAUACAUAUAUCGAACACAAAUCAAGGAAGUUAUCACACCACCAGAAGUCAUUAAGGCACUCGAAUCAGACUUCAAUGAAAGAGUAGCCGAAGAUGCCCAUAUCUCACAGGAAGAUCUACGUUUUCUAUCCAUAAUGGAGGAAGGAAUCAAGACGAAGCCAGACGGACGUUGCGAAAUGCCUCUCCCAUUUAAAGAAGAAAGGCCAAGCCUGCCACAGAACAGAAUCUGUGCAGAUCACCGUCUCAAGUGUCUCAGGAAGAGAUUGGAGAGGGACGAGCAAUAUCGGAAGGACUACAAGACCUUCAUGAGUGAGAUGAUUGCACGCGGAGAUGCAGAGAAAGUCACAGAAGAACAACUUGACAAAGGCCCGUCCUGGUACAUUCCUCAUCACGGGGUGUAUCACCCUCAUAAACCUGGGAAGAUACGGGUCGUGUUCGACUGCUCAGCCAAGUACCAAGGCAUGUCACUGAAUGACCACCUGCUUACCGGACCGGAACUGACAAACACCUUGGUAGGCGUGCUCUGUCGCUUUCGCAAGGGUCCAGUAGCGAUCAUGUGUGAUGUGGAACGCAUGUUCCAUCAGUUUCAUGUCAGACCAGAGGACAGAGACUAUUUGAGGUUUCUGUGGUGGGAAGACGGCGACCUACAGUCAGAACCAGCGGUCUACCGCAUGAAAGUACACCUGUUUGGGGCGGCCUCAUCACCCGGCUGCGCAAACUAUGGCCUCAAACACAUCGCUGCACAAGGACAAGGUCACUUCAAAGAAACAUCCAUUAGAUUCAUAGAAAGAAACUUCUAUGUGGAUGAUGGACUAACAAGUGUGACAACCGAAGAAGAAGCAAUACAGUUAGUCGCUGAAGCAAGAGAAAUCUGCAGCAAUGGCAAGCUGCGAAUUCACAAGUUCAUCUCCAAUCGCCAGAAAGUACUUGCAUCGAUUCCCAAAGAAGAGUGUGCUGAAAUAGUACGUAAUCAAGAGUUAGCCAAAGGCGAGCCGCAGAUUGAGAGAGCUCUGGGUGUCGAGUGGUGUGUUGCCUCCGACCAGUUCCAAUUCAGAGUAGUGGUCAAAGAGCGUCCGCUCUCUAGAAGAGGAGUGUUGUCGAUGGUAGCCUCUAUUUUUGACCCACUCGGGUUUGUAGCACCUUUCAUUCUCGUUGGAAAACAAAUACUACAGCAGAUGUGCCGUGACAAGAUCGGAUGGGAUGAGCCUCUACCUGAUGAUUUACGGCCACAAUGGGAAUCUUGGUUCCUAGACCUACAGAACCUUGCUGACAUCAAGAUUCAACGAUGCUACCUACCAGACAGUUUCAAAGAGGUCCAAAGAUAUGAAAUUCAUCAUUUCUCAGAUGCAAGUGUCACAGGCUACGGAGAGUGUUCUUACCUGAGAGCAAUAGACACAUCCGGACAAAUCCACUGUUCCUUGGUCAUGGCCAAGGCAAGAGUUGCCCCCACGAAGUUAACUACAGUGCCAAGACUUGAGCUGUCCGCAGCUGUCGUUGCUGUGCGGACUAGCGACCUGCUGAAAAGGGAGUUGGAAAUAGAAGAUGCUCAGGAAAUCUUUUGGACAGACUCAAAGGUCGUGCUUGGAUAUGUCAACAACGACGCCAGAAGAUUUCAUGUAUUCGUGGCCAACCGCAUUCAGCGAAUCAAGAACAGUACCAAGCCCAGUCAAUGGAGAUAUGUGGCUUCAGAAGAAAACCCUGCAGACCACGCAUCAAGGGGUCUCAGGGCAAAGGAGCUCAUCGAGUCUAACUGGUUUACUGGCCCCGAAUUUCUCUGGCGUGAAGAACUUCCCAGCGGAGACAUCAAGGUGGGAGAGAUGUUAGCAGAAGACACUGAAGUUCGAAAGGCCUUCGUGGGCAAGACCUUGACGACGGAAGACUCACUGCUUGAUCGCUUCCAGAAGUUCUCCAGCUGGAUGAUGUUAGUCAAAGCCAUCGCUAGACUCAAACGACGUGUCAAAGAGCUCAAGGGUCUGACAGAAAGAAUCAAUGAAGCCACGAGUCUCGAAGAAAGAAAGGAAGCAGAAAUCACGAUCAUAGGCAUUGUCCAAAGAGAAACCUUAUCAAAGGAGAUACAAGGUCUUCAAACUAAGAAGGACAUAAGCAAGGACAACAGACUAUCCAAACUAAACCCUUACCUGGACCAGCAAGGUAUCCUAAGGGUGGGAGGUCGACUGGAACGUGCUGCACUGCAUCGACACAUCAAGCAUCCAGCAGUCUUGCCUAAGAACAGCCACAUAACAACACUACUGAUCCAGCACUACCACCAAAGGGUGCAGCAUCAAGGACGUGGCAUAACAAUGAACGAGCUACGAUCAAACGGAAUCUGGAUACUUGGAUGCAGUCAAGCGGUGUCAUCCUACAUCUACAAGUGUGUCAAGUGUAGAAAGUUCAGAAGGUGUACGGAGGACCAACGAAUGGCAGACUUACCCCAUGAACGGAUGGAGACCACUCCUCCCUUUACCUAUUGUGGGAUGGAUUGUUUUGGUCCUUUCUACGUCAAGGAAGGAAGAAAGGAGUUGAAGCGCUACGGUCUGCUACUCACCUGUUUGUGCUCUCGCGCCGUACACAUAGAGCUACUUGAUGACAUGACUACUGACGCUUUUAUCAAUGCGCUCCGCGCAUUCAUCGCUCUACGAGGAAAUGUUCGACAACUUCGAUCAGACCAAGGUACAAACUUUGUGGGUGCGAGACGCGAGUUCCUUGAAGCUGUAAAAGAGAUGGAUCAAGAGAGUCUAAAAGAACUUGGCUGUGAGUUUGUGAUGAACACUCCUUCUGCAAGCCACAUGGGCGGCGCCUGGGAAAGGCACAUCAGGACCAUUAGGAGUGUGCUGACAUCCAUCCUGGAUCAGUCUUCUCGAAGACUGGAUAGCUCAUCUUUGAGGACUUACCUGUACGAGGUAAUGGCAAUCAUAAACAGCAGACCUCUAACUACUCACCUUCUCAAUGAUCCCACAGGGCCACAGCCUCUAACGCCUAAUCACAUUUUGACGAUGAAAUCCUCGAUAGUCCUGUCUCCUCCUGGAAAGUUUGUGAAGGAAGACCUGUACUUACGGAAAAGAUGGCGUAGAGUGCAAUACUUAACUGAAGAAUUCUGGUCCCGAUGGAAGAAAGAGUACCUGUUGAACCUACAACAAAGAGAAAAAUGGAACAAGACGAAGAGAAAUGCAAGGAUCAAUGACAUAGUGAUUAUAAAGGAUGAAAAUACACCAAGAAAUGAAUGGAAGCUGGCUAAGGUCACACAAGUGUACCCAAGUGAAGAUGGUCAUGUGAGGAAGAUACAGUUAUUGAUCAGCAACUCAGAACUAAGUGACACUGGAAAACGAGUCAACAAGCAAACCUACCUGGAGAGACCUAUACAUAAGACUGUGACCUUGCUUGAAGCAGAAUGAGAGCCUCCAGUCUACCCUCUCUAGAGCCCCUCCCUAGCGCCAGCUAGCUUAUGACCUAAUCCUUAGUUAUAGUUACCUUAAUUAUACUUACCUCAGUUAUACUUGCCCUUUUUCUCUUAGUUCUACUCAUUUCAGAUAGUUGAAGGAAAUCACAAGUGAUUUGGUGGGAGUGUAGCUGCCAUAAGAAAAUGCACUGUAAGGAACGUUUUGAGCUAAGCUCUAUUUCCAAGUGGGAACCAAUUUCAGUUUUUGUGUUAGCGGUUCCUUUUUGUGAGUUACACAAGGGCGAGAGUGUCUGAUUUUGAGCCACCGGGUGGCGACGUUUUUCCGUUUGAACAAGCAAGUGGUGAAGAACGCAAGAAAUGCUUAUUUUGUGUCCUUUCUGAUAGCAUUUUUGUUUAUUGUUGAAACCGGAGUUUGAAGACCUGUAUUGUCAGGAUUUACGUUUUUCUUCGUUUUCUCCCUCGAGCAAAUGCGGCAAUGAGUUCUCACGGCAUGUGUGUGGAGAAGUUGAAUAAAUGCCCGUUUUGAAGAA